rnacentral:tRNA from 1 species
GGGAGAGCGUCGUCCCCGGUGGGGCGUGCGGCCUUCAAAGCCGUUGAGCUGCUGAUGAAGUGGCUGGUGGGUUCGACUCCUACCUCUUCCGCCA